AUGGCUCAGUGGUAAAGAAUCUGUCUAUAAUACAGAAGACCCAGGUUCAAUCCCUGUGU
rnacentral:tRNA from 1 species